GCUGGACUAGAAGAUUUCGCGAGACGAGGUGAGAGCAGGGUUUGAUUGGAACGAAGAGAAAGGCAAGAAUUACUAGAAGAAAAUGACAAUUGGGAGGAGAAGAGCUUAGAGGAAUUAGCAGAGGCAGAAGAAGGCGGACAAACAGUAGCAUACGGUGGCGGGGGCUGUUGGGGGGUGCCGGCCACCUUCAAAAUGACACCGCAGGAGGGGAUAGCUGCCUGCCAUAUCUAUGACCUCCCACCGUCUAAGCGCAGACUAGUGGUCGAAGAUAGACAGAGGUGAGAGUGUUUAUUUGGCUGAUUG
rnacentral:misc_RNA from 1 species